UACGUAGGAUGCAAGCGUUGUCCGGAUUUACUGGGCGUAAAGCGCGCGCAGGCGGUCGUUCAAGUCGAGUGUGAAAGCCCCCGGCUCAACUGGGGAGGGUCACUCGAUACUGAUCGACUUGAAGGCAGAAGAGGGAAGCGGAAUUCCCGGUGUAGUGGUGAAAUGCGUAGAUAUCGGGAGGAACACCAGUGGCGAAGGCGGCUUUCUGGUCUGUUCUUGACGCUGAGGCGCGAAAGCCAGGGGAGCAAACGGG
rnacentral:rRNA from 1 species